rnacentral:lncRNA from 1 species
UAUCUUUGAGAAGAAAAAUAAUGUUUGGAAAGUUUCCAGCAGAAAUGCAGAAUACCUAAAGUCUAGUGAUAGAUGUUUUAGAAUUAUUAGUUGAUAAAAAGAACUCUGCUGCUUUAAGGGAGAUUGUGAAACAGAGGUCCCUUUUCUCAUCAACAUGAGGAGAGUGUUGAAAUCUUGGGAGUCAUUUUAGAUGGAUUACUAUAAAGACAAGAAGCAUUUGAGCUAAGGCAGUUAAAAUCCAACUUUAGAAAACCACUUGGAAACAUAGCAGCUGUUCUUCAGUUGUGUUCUCUGAAGAGGAGUUCUAGAACAGGGAGAACAAUUAGUCAUGGAAAAUACCCAGGUCACUAGGGAGACCAGAACUUAUGGGGAAGAAAGAGGUUUGUAUUUGCCAUCAGCUUUAGAGUGGUCUUUAAGGAGCUUUGCUCUAUUUCACUCCCCGACGAAGAGUGAACACAGUCUGGGGAAGGCCAAAGUUGAAUCCCAAAGAUGAACUAAGUCUGCUGCAAUCCAGGUUUGUUAAAGAAUGCUAGCAAGAGUCUAAUAGCUCAAAGUCGUGUCAUAGCUACGAUGGGACAAAGAGCAUCUCAACUGCAUAUGUAGCUAGUUUGCCAUUGUAUGAACAUUGGAACUGUGGUUGUGGUCCAUUUACUAAGCUGCUCUGGGGAUUCCCUGUUAAUACUAUUGGCUACAGUGGUAGAGGCAACUUCUAUGGAUACAUCUUUUUGUUUUGUUUUCUGUACCAUGGAGGGUUUUGCUACCUAUGAAUAGCAUAGAAGGUUUAUAGCUUCAUUCACUAGUCAUAUGCCAUUAAAGAUAAGGCACACACAAUUUUACUGUAUACUUUGGUUUUGAUGAAAACUUGUCUUCCAUGAGUCAGAAGCUGAUGAAUUUCUCAGUCUUUAAAAUUUUAAAAGCUACUGACUAAAGCCAACAAGAACCAAGAUAAUCUUGCACAUUUAUUAUGUGACCAGUUCCUAAUGGCAGUAUUUUAUGUCUAUGAUGUAAACCAGAAGUUAGUUAUUAUGGUCCUUGAGCCAGAUUCCCAAGCCUGCCACCUCUUAAUAUAUGUAAAACUAUACUGGAACACAGACAUGCCUGUUUUAUAUAAACAUAAUAAGUUUAUAUUUAUAAAUUUAUUUUCUAUUAAUUACAUAUUAUCUGUGACUACAGUGUUCUUAGAGAAGAGGUAACUGGCUGUGACAGAGACCACAUAAUCUACAAACCCACAAACCCUUUAAAAUAGUUACUUUGUGACCAUUAACUAAAGUAUGCACUAACACCUACUAUAAAACUGGCUGUGAGCUAACCCCUCUUGACAGGAUAAAGAUGUUGAAGUUUGUUAAAGAAAGUUGUAGACUGAUUUACUUUUGCCUAUUACCAAAGUUUUGAGAUUAUAUACAUUAUUCAGAGAUCCAUAGGAACUUAAAUAAUGCAGUAGGUUAGUCCUGUGUAGGGUUACUCCAAGAUGGAUAGCCCUAUAUGUCUUCGCAUCUGAGUUUAGGAAGGAAUGUUUCUAAGUGCAGACAUAUACAAGUGUACUUACAAUUCUAGUACUAAUAUGUUUUCAAGUGCCAGAGGUGUGUAUCAACUCUGAAGACAUGUUGUUAUAGUAAUAAAUAUUACUUAUGAUUUUUAUACAGAUCAUAUUCUUUAUUCUAAACCAUACUAUUAAGAAGGAGUUGAGCCUGGCAUGGUGAAACAUGUAUUCAUUGUAGAGUCAUUGUAGAACUUGGGAAGUAGAGGCAAGAGGAUCAGGAAUUCAAGGUCAGCCUGAGCUACAUGACAUCUAGCCUCAAACAGAAUCAACAUCUUACCAUUUUGUUGUCUAUAAUCUACCUAACCAUGUAGAGUAAAAGACGUUUUGAGAAAAAAUUUCCUACCUGCCAUUGCCUGAUAAAUGCAAGUUACUAAAAAUGAAAAUGAAAAAAAAAUUAUAAAGGUAUCAGCACACAAAAAUCAACUAAUAUUCUUUAAGUUUCUAAAUGAGUGGCUUAGAGAUUGACAGUUCACAGACCAUCCUUAGUGGAUGGAGCAACUGUCAAAGCAAUACUAGAGAGCAGUGCCAUUUUGUUCUCUGGGGAUUCAUUUAUUUACAGGCCCUGAUCUUCAGUAAUUAAUACGAGUCCUGCUUUAGGGCAGGAGAGAUGAUGGCUCAGCAUUACAAGCACUGCCGUCUGGAGGACUCAGGUUUGUUUACCAGCACUUACAUGGUGGCUCACAACCCUUUAUAACUCCAGUUUCAGGGAAUCCAAAAACUCCCACCCCUUCAGGCACUGCACACAUGUGGUGCACAGACAUGCAUGUACACAAAACACCCUUACACAUAAAAUAAAGAGAAAACCUAAAAGAGGCCUACUUUGUUUCCUAGUGUUCUUCUACACGCUAUUUUUUGCUAUUUAUUUGUAUAUGUGGUCCAACCUUAAGGGUUUAUAUUCAGAACAGUUAGAGGUAGAAGGAAGGCUCCCAGAAUACAUGUUUAUUUGGAUCCUGCAUUCAAAGUAAGUCGAAUAAUGUGGAGAAAGAGUAUUAAAUAACUCUGCCAUUGGUUUGGGAAGCAACAUUUUUCUGGAUGUUAAAAGUAAAAUAUCAGGGGAGGAAGUAGAAGACAAGCAUUUCUGAUAGAGAUGAGAGCAGGCUGGAUGCAUGUGUGUGCUUACUCAUGCUCACAGGGUACACUGGGUGGGAAGGAAGUGUGCCUGGGAUAGGAGAGUAUGCUAGAAGCUUCUUAGAGCUGGCUAACAAGUAAUUUGUAAUAUACAUAUAUGUAUAUGUAAUGUGUAAUACAUAUAUUGUACAUUGUAUAUGUAUAUUGUAAAUGUAUAUUACAUAUUACAUGUGCAUAUACAUAUAUGUAAUGUGCAAUAUAUAUAUAUAUAUAUGUAUGUGUGUGUAUAUAUAUAUAUAUCUUGUAAUCAUGCCAUAACCUAAUGGUUCAGUUCCAAGUAUAAGUUUAUCUUGUUAGUAGAUAGCUGCUCUCAAACUUUCUAAUUGGUAGAGAACCUUUUUUGUCUUUUAUUUUUCACUGCAUUAUAGGUCUAAAAUUCUGAUUCAGACAAAAAGGAAUGGCAAACUGAUUUUUUUUUUAGCCUUCUUUUCUUUCUCUGUGUAUUCUUCAAGUUUGCUAAUCUAGACUCACUGAGAAAUAGUAAGUCUCCCACACUUGAAUUAUAAAGGGUGGAGUGUUUCAUCAGGAGGGCAGUGACAAUGUGUCAGUUUGGCUUUCAUUGUCGAUGUAAUACUGCUUUAUGAAAGUCACAUACUAUUGAUCAUAUUUUAAGUGCUCAUUCUUUAAGCUUUUCUUUAUUAAGAUUUCAGACCAAUUUAUAUUGCUUGAAUGUUGAAUCUCAUCUUUAAUAUAUAGUUUAUUACUGAAAAAUUACUUGUAUUUUAUAAACAUGGAAAUAUUGUGGACAUAUUUUCAGGCUAAGAUUUUUUUAAAGAUUUAUUCAUUUAUUAUAUGUAAAUACACUGUAGCUGUCUUUGUCUUCAGACACCCCAGAAGAGGGCAUUAAAUUUCAUUACAGAUGGUUGAGAGCCGCCAUGUGGUUACUGGGAUUUGAACUCAGGACCUUCAGAAGAGCAGUCAGUGCUUUUAACUGCUGAGCCAUCUCUCCAGCCCUACUAAGGUUUCUUUUAGCUUUCUAAAAGAUUUAGAUAAAUUUGUUUUUUCCAAGUUAUUAUAUUUGAAAGAUGCUGUUCAAAAAUUUUAGUUGAUAAAAUUUUUAUUUCCUCUGGAAUAUUCAUAUUUUGUUUCACAGCGCUGAGCUAAUGAUUUUUGAUAUUUUCUGUCUAUAAUAUUAUAGUUCGCUUGUGGAAAAAUCAUCUACACUAUAAAAGAACAGUUUAUAUGUGAUGAUCCAACACUUUCAAACACCUUAAUGUCUAAUCCUUACCAAUGACAACUACUUCAUUAUGAGAUCUGAUGGCGAUUUACAAGAGCUGCCCCUCCUGAUGUUUUUAACUUCAUCUUCUCCCCUUAAUGUUGUGUCUCAACAUUUCUUAGUAUCUCACUGAUGGGGCAUUAAAAAUUGACUUUGACAUUCAUUCUUUCUCUGUUGUUUGGGGCUUUACCAUUUUUAAAUGUUUCAAAGCCACACGUGGAACUCUGCCACACAAUCCCUGUUCUCAUUCUGCGAAUUCCGUAAAGAUGUUAGCUAAACUCAGCAUUUCAGUCUGUCAGGACUCUACUGAAUACCUUCUGUAGUCUCUGCACUUGAAGACAUGUAUCAAUGUUCUGUUUAACUUUUUAAAUAAGAGCUUAUUUAGUUAGCAUAUAGCUUGCAAUACUAGAAAUGCAAAUUUAGUAAUUUUUUAAAAAGCCAUGGGUUAUCUCUUUUCUUAUGUGCUAUGAUGAGUUCAUUUUUAACACAUUUUAAUUAUCUGAUUUAUAAGAACUUCAGCCACUAUUUUGCUGCAAAGUUCUGGAACUGUCAGAGAAAAUAUAAUUGUCUUACAAAAUAUUUUCAUAUAAAACCCAAGGAAAAUUUGUCAAUUUUCAUCACUAUAGUGUAAAUCCUG